UCAUUCACAGCUCAGUCAAUAAGAGCAUGAGACUCUUAAUCUCAGGGUUGUGGGUUCGAGCCCCCCGUUGGGUGAA